rnacentral:lncRNA from 1 species
GACCUUAUUGAAGCUAUGGAGACAUAAUUUUAUGUUCUUAAUAUUUUUAAAUGGCGUAACACCAACAGCCACCACAAAAGACAAAGUGUGCAGUGUAAGAUUUCAUGCAUAAGGUAAAAGGAAAGACCAUGUACCUUCUCCUGCCAAUGAAUCAUCUCUGUGGUGACCUAACCUGGCAAUGCCAUCCUCAGACACUCUGACCUUCCAUGUGGAAACAGAUUGUGAAGGUCAAAAUUUGGAUGAGGAAAAGAAAUUAAAUACUACUUCAGGGAUAAGAAAGCAAAGGUGGAGUGAGGAUGAACCAGAGGUGCCUGUCCGUGGCACAGCUUGGCUCCAAUCUCUGCUUUCCCUUUUCCUCUUCACUCUGCACAGCAGUGUAAAUGGUGGUACACUUGUUC